GAUGAACGCUGGCGGCGUGCCUAAUACAUGCAAGUCGAGCGAAUGGAUUAAGAGCUUGCUCUUAUGAAGUUAGCGGCGGACGGGUGAGUAACACGUGGGUAACCUGCCCAUAAGACUGGGAUAACUCCGGGAAACCGGGGCUAAUACCGGAUAACAUUUUGAACCGCAUGGUUCGAAAUUGAAAGGCGGCUUCGGCUGUCACUUAUGGAUGGACCCGCGUCGCAUUAGCUAGUUGGUGAGGUAACGGCUCACCAAGGCAACGAUGCGUAGCCGACCUGGGAGGGUGAUGGGCCACACUGGGACUGGGACACGGCCCAGACUCCUACGGGAGGCAGCAGUAGGGAAUCUUCCGCAAUGGACGAAAGUCUGACGGAGCAACGCCGCGUGAGUGAUGAAGGCUUUCGGGUCGUAAAACUCUGUUGUUAGGGAAGAACAAGUGCUAGUUGAAUAAGCUGGCACCUUGACGGUACCUAACCAGAAAGCCACGGCUAACUACGUGCCAGCAGCCGCCGUAA
rnacentral:rRNA from 1 species